UCAGGUGCCACCCACCUCGGCCUCCCAAAGUGCUGGUAUUACAGGCAGGAGCCACCGCUCCCGGCCUUGUUUAUCUUUUCUAACUCAGGUCUGUCGUAUGUAAUUUUGGGAAAUACAAUUCUAACUUGAAGAAAAAGGAGUAUAAUACUUUGUUGCAUCACAUGUGGAAUAAGAAGCAAUGCAGCAACCUUGACCCAUGAAGAAGCUGCAUCUUUUCCUUCCUUUUCUCUGAAGGACCAGUGGAUUUGGUGCACCUACAAGACAGCCUUUAAAAUAAAAUGACCAAAACCGACCUUUGUACCCACAUCCAAAAUCAAGCAAAUUCAUAGCAAUGUCCUAUAAAAAUUGCAUCAGGCUGACCACACCAGGAUUGCUCUUCAAAAGGGAUCAUAAUGGACCAAGGGUCCCUGCUGCUGCACUUUGAAGCCCAGUCUUGUGUUCCCACUGAGGCCAUGCCUACCAUAGGCUAGUUCCUACCAACUACAAAAUGAGGUUGAGCUGGAGAAUCUAAACUCUUUUGGAGAUGUCCCAAGGCCUAACCUGCACCUCUUCACAGCAUAGGCUGCACAUGUUCUUGUGGAAAAGAUCUAAAAUCACCACCUUUUGCUUUGUCUGCUGGUGCUUAAGGUGAGUCACUAUUACAGGCCCCUUUCUCCCACUGAGUUUUCUGCAUGGAGGAUAACCUGAGGUAAAAGGGUAGAGAAGGCACGUACAUAAAAAAAGACAUAGACAGGUAGGAGGGAAGCAAAGAAGGGCACAGAUUCAAUGCAACAAUUAGAGUUGUCUACACAUAAUCCCUUCUGAAAAGCAUUAGCAUAGGCUCUUCAAAGCUGUUUGGUUCUUGUCCGUUACAGAACUUUUAUAUUCUAUGAACACCUGGAUUGUUAGAACAUGUGUGAUGGUGAGGAUGGUGACCCCUGCCAACCUGUGCUUUAAAUGGGCUUGUUUAGUGUUGGGAGAAAACCAUUAGGCCACAUGCAGAAGAGAUGUGCCCACUUUCAGUUUUUCCCACGACAGAUGUGGAAGGUAUGAUUUAUCACAUAAGGCCAAAACUUUGUGCAUGGUUGGUAUGACAUCAGACAUUCCAGACCUUCUCUAUGCUCCUUUUUCUCUGCAUUGAGCUACAACCUGUAGUACCACUAUAGGGAUGUGGGAAACGCAGAAAACAUAUGUUUACAGUUACUGUAAUAGCAGUGAUUGGUUGUCGAUGACUUGUUGGAACUAUAGCAAGUUUCUUGCUGGGAUGGGAGCAUAAGAGUCCAUAUAGAGCAUGGAAAUAACCCACUUUUAAGUGAAAAACAUUCAUUGUUUUUAAUAAGAUCAUUUUCCUGCUGGUAGACUUGGCCUCUCUGGUGAUAUCUUCUGGGCUCUAGUUCCUAUCAGAAUACUGAGAGACAGAUGGGCUGUAGGAACAAUCAAACCUACUUAAAUCUGCUUUAUAAAGUAGUAAGAGCAAGAAUUGAUUUUCUGUCCAUCAAUCCAUCCCUCCAUCUAUUCACCCAUUCUUUUAUUUAUUAUUUUCACACAGAAGUCAAAGUAAUUUUUCCAAAAUACGCAUCUGAUCCUGUUACUGUCCUCUUUAAAUCCUUUCCUAGUUUUUCCCUCAAGGUGAAGUCCAGACUCCUAAAUGUCACCUCCUUGGCCCUGCAUAAUCAGAAUCAGGCCUCUGUCCACUUCUCUAGUGACAUCUCUUGUUUGAUUUCUCUCAUCCUUUUAUAUAGUCUACACUCCUGUCAUGCAGAGUAUCUUUCACUAGCUUGAAAGAAUUAUGCUUCUUUCUGCCUUUGGAGCUUUGAGCAAGUUGUCUUUCCCCUUCCUCUCCAUCCUUUGACCUCUAAUCAUUCAUCACUUCACCUAAGAGGCCUCACCUUCAGGGAGUAUUCAGUUCCUGUGCUAAGUGCUCUCAUAGCACCCUCUAGCCUCCCAUCACAGCGCUGUAGUACGUAUUUCUACCUUUAAUGCAUCUCUAUGUGCCUUAUACUUUAAGCUCCUUAAAGGCAUAGAUAGUACCUAUAUAUAUUUUUUGUUGUUGAGACAUUAAUAGCUAGCACAGAGUCUGCCACAUAAGACUUCAGCAGAUAUUUGUUGUGUAAAAUUGUAUGACUAACACUGGCAAUAUAUCUUAAAGAUUGGCUUUUGUUGAGUAGCUAUUUGAAUCUGUGUUCCAGCUUCACUAUCUGCUCAAUGCAUGACUUUGGGCAAUUUAUUUAUUUUUUUAAAUUUUAAAUUCAGGGGUGCAUGUGCAGGAUGUGCAGCUUUGUUACAUAGGUAAAUGUGUGCCAUGGUGAUUUGCUGCACAGAUCAUCCCAUCACCUAGGUAUUCAGCCCAGUAUUAGCUAUUCUUCCGGAUGUUCUCCCUCCUCCCCACCCACCCUCUGACAGGCCCCAGUGUGUGUUGUUCCCCCUAACAUUUCCAUGU